UGUGAUUCCAGGAUCAUGGCUUCCCCAUCCGCGAGACUAGAGGGAGUGAAGGUGAGCUUGCCCCAAUAUGGCAUGGCUUGAGGUGUGCAAGGGUGCAAUUGCAUGGGCCUUGCUUGAGGGAAAAAUGUUGAACCAUUCACUUGAAUGACCCUGGAGGAUGGAUCACUUGGCU
rnacentral:rRNA from 1 species